rnacentral:rRNA from 1 species
GACGAACGCUGGCGGCGUGCUUAACACAUGCAAGUCGAACGGAAAGGCCCUGCUUUUGUGGGGUGCUCGAGUGGCGAACGGGUGAGUAACACGUGAGUAACCUGCCCUUGACUUUGGGAUAACUUCAGGAAACUGGGGCUAAUACCGGAUAGGAGCUCCUGCUGCAUGGUGGGGGUUGGAAAGUUUCGGCGGUUGGGGAUGGACUCGCGGCUUAUCAGCUUGUUGGUGGGGUAGUGGCUUACCAAGGCUUUGACGGGUAGCCGGCCUGAGAGGGUGACUGGCCACAUUGGGACUGAGAUGCGGCCCAGACUCCUACGGGAGGCAGCAGUGGGGAAUAUUGCACAAUGGGCGGAAGCCUGAUGCAGCAACGCCGCGUGCGGGAUGACGGCCUUCGGGUUGUAAACCGCUUUCGCCUGUGACGAAGCGUGAGUGACGGUAAUGGGUAAAGAAGCACCGGCUAACUACGUG